rnacentral:tRNA from 1 species
UCUAAUGUGGCAGAUUAGUGCGGUGGAUUUAAGCCCCAUAUAUAAAGUUUAUACUUUUUUUAGAA